UUUUUGGUUUAUGAAUUAGCCUGGGCUUAAAUUAUUUAGUUUGUAGAGGAUAAAUUUAGGGUUCAUCCUCCUCUUCGUUAUCUGAAAAGCUCAAGCAACAAUGGGGUUUUCUGGAAGUUUUCUAUGACGGAUUUCUGAAAAGCUCAAGCAACAAGUCCGGCCAGAGUACCUCAACCAUCAAUGUGCGACUUCUGAUUUUUCUGGAAAGCUAGAAACGUUUAAACAUGGUGGAGAGCUUAUGGGUGUUGACAUGGCCAAGCCAGCUAGGUUGUAUUCUUGGCCUGUAGGGGGAUCAGCAAUUGAUGUCAAGGAAACACUGGAUGAUGACAUAUGUGUGCUUAUCUCCAGCUUUAGUUACCAAUGCUUAUACCUUCGUCUAUGUACAAAACGCAGCCGCUUUAGACAAGAAACCAGGAGUUUACUGUAACUGCCAGAUCAUUGAAAGUCUCAAGAGCUUAAUUGAUGCCCUUAUGUGUUCAUAUGAUUAGAUUAUAUGUGUGGGGCUAUAGGAAAAUGGAAAGCUCUCAACCGAAAAGGAUCCAAAGAUGUGUAUGAGUUUACUGAAUGUCCUAACUGUUACCCUCUGCCUCUCCCUCUCCCUCUCCCUCUCACAUUAUGUGUAAUGUAGUUUGGUUUUGGUAACCCCUGUUUUAUUUUGUGACUCCUGUUUGCAAACAGGUUGAGGCAAACUUGUGUAUCCGGUCUGUUACAGGUUUAUCAAACAACAAAGGACUUAGAAGGCCUGGUGCUCAUGAGCUACUCGAUACAAUGUACAAUGGUCGUCUUCUUCUCAAUUCACGAGCAGCAGAGGCAAUAGAAGAGGAAGAAAAGUAAUACAUUGGGGAUGGCAUGGGAAGCUAUAGGAGAAUGGGAUGCGAGAACAUGUUUUUGUAAUAUGCUGCUAGCUAGCUUUGUAUUGUUAAUUCUUUAUAAACCAAAGAGUUCUUUUUCCUUAAGACAGUCUUGACGACUCAAUUUCACGUUUCCUACAUUAAUUAUUUGUCUC